rnacentral:rRNA from 1 species
AGUGAACGCUGGCGGUAGGCCUAACACAUGCAAGUCGAACGGCAGCACAGUAAGAGCUUGCUCUUACGGGUGGCGAGUGGCGGACGGGUGAGGAAUACAUCGGAAUCUACUUUUUCGUGGGGGAGAACGUAGGGAAACUUACGCUAAUACCGCAUACGACCUACGGGUGAAAGCAGGGGAGCUUCGGACCUUGCGCGAUUGAAUGGGCCGAUGUCGGAUUAGCUAGUUGGCGGGGUAAAGGCCCACCAAGGCGACGAUCCGUAGCUGGUCUGAGAGGAUGAUCAGCCACACUGGAACUGAGACACGGUCCAGACUCCUACGGGAGGCAGCAGUGGGGAAUAUUGGACAAUGGGCGCAAGCCUGAUCCAGCCAUACCGCGUGGGUGAAGAAGGCCUUCGGGUUGUAAAGCCCUUUUGUUGGGAAAGAAAAGCAGCAGGUUAAUACCCCGCUGUUCUGACGGUACCCAAAGAAUAAGCACCGGCUAACUUCGUG